UGUUGAAGGAAGAUUAAGAAGAAAACAGGGCAUGAGUCUGUUUUAUCAUCUUUUCCUGGGCAAAGCUCUGUUGUGGUGGGUUUUUUUUCUUCCAGUGACUGAUUAAAUGUUCGUGCCUGUGGCAAUGGGGAUCCUUAAAAAUAACCAAAUAUUGUAAAGCACUGAGUUUUUCAUAACCAUACAGCGUGGUCUCAAAUUAAUCUUUUAUUUUUCUCAUAAUAGGUAUCAGCACAAAAAUAGCGUCUGACAUCAGCACAGUGCUGUAGGCUUCACAAAGUGCUUUCAUGUGCAUGAUCUCCAUCCUAACAAAACAGUGAUGGAGGCAGUGUCUGCAUGCAUCUCCCUGUCUGUUUUCAAGUCAUACAAGGUAACUACAAGAUACCAAAUAUAUUCCCUGUGCUAUACAAUAACCUAAAGGAAUCUUGAAAGUAAAACUUGAAUUGGUCAAAUUGCUUGUAGGUAACUUUACUGCAUCCUGGAACAAAAGCCAAGAAUAUCUGUAGUAAUACAAAACUAUUCACUACUCAAAAAGGUAAAACCCACAAUGUUGGGCAUCCAAUAAAAAAAUUUACAG